rnacentral:rRNA from 1 species
CGGGAUACCCGAGGGAAACUUCGGUUAAUACGGUAUAAGACCACACUACCGCAUGGUAGAGGGGUAAAAGGGGCAACCUGGUAUGAGAUGGACUCGCGUCGCAUUAGCUAGUUGGUGAGGUAACGGCCCACCAAGGCGACGAUGCGUAGCCGACCUGAGAGGGUGAUCGGCCACAUUGGGACUGAGAUACGGCCCAGACUCCUACGGGAGGCAGCAGUGGGGAAUAUUGGGCAAUGGAGGAAACUCUGACCCAGCAAUGCCGCGUGAAUGAAGAAGGUCUUCGGAUUGUAAAGUUCUUUAGUCAGGGAAGAAGUCAAUGACGGUACCUGAAGAAUAAGCUCCGGCUAACUACGUGCCAGCAGCCGCGGUAAUACGUAGGGAGCAAGCGUUGUUCGGAAUGACUGGGCGUAAAGGGUGCGUAGGCGGUUGUACAAGUUAGAAGUGAAAUACCCAGGGCUUAACUCGGGUGCUGCUUCUAAAACUGUAUGACUUGAGUGCAGUAGAGGUUAGUGGAAUUCCUAGUGUAGCGGUGGAAUGCGUAGAUAUUAGGAGGAACACCAGAGGCGAAGGCGGCUAACUGGACUACAACUGACGCUGAGGCACGAAAGUGUGGGGAGCAAACAGGAUUAGAUACCCUGGUAGUCCACACUGUAAACGAUGGAUACUAGAUGUAGGAGGUAUCGACUCCUUCUGCGUCGCAG